CUCAGACAUUCUAGCCAUUCCAACCAUCCCACCUGCCACCUCAGACAUGGUGAAGAUGCUCAGCAUUUCCUUCCAGGAGCUUGCUGCCCUUCCUUGGAACAGAAGAAUGCUCACCUGGAAGGCUGCUUACUGUUGACAAAACAGCAUGCAAGGGGAUAUUCAAACCAAUAACCCAGAAAAGAUCUGGAUAAAGGAAUAAGUCUGUCAGGUAUCUGGAACCUUGUCACCAUGAUGCUAAGCAUCCUGAUUUUCUGAGAAGAUUUUCUACUUUUCAUCCAGUUUAACAACAUCAAGCAGAACAUGGAGACCGAGGAAAGACAAAAGAGAGAAGCCAAAGACAGCCCCUCUCUUCAAACUAUACUGGGUGCUCCCAGUUGGAGUAGAGAAGUCUUGAGCUGUUCUCUUCAAAGAGGAGACACACGGGAUGAACGAACAACCGUCCAGCCAGUGUGGGAACCAGGUUCCAGAACACUCUUAUCAAGUCCCCGCUCCGCAUCUUUCUAGCUCUGUAACUUUGGGCCAAACAAUUAAACUCGAAGACCCUCAAUGUCCUCAUCCAUGAAACGGAGAAGGAAAUUUCAACCCUCUACAACUGAUGGGCCAAUAU